GGGGAUUUAGCUCAGUUGGUAGAGUGCUUGCCUAGCAUGCAGGAAAUACUCGAUUCAGUUCCUA
rnacentral:tRNA from 1 species